rnacentral:tRNA from 1 species
UUGGAUGUAGCUCAGAUGGAUAGAGCGGGCUAUGGAUUGCUGGCCAGCAACUGACGCAACGGUUUGCAAGCCCAAGCGUUAAGUUUUCCUAAAAGUGCGGUCGCCGGUUCGAGUCCGGCCAUCCAAU